rnacentral:misc_RNA from 1 species
GAGGAAUUCAAAUUGAAAGUCGUUUAUGUUUCUCCACCUCAACCACCUUCUCCAGUACCAGAAGGUUCUGAAGAAGGGUCCUCUCCAAGAGGUUCUGUUUCAGAGAAUGGAAACUUCAAUGAUGCUGACUUGAAUACUGCUACAAGGGGAUAUGUUGAACGGUCGGAGCCGCAGGAUAAAUCUGCAGAGGCUAGAGCCCUCAUAGCGAAACUCACAGAGGAAAAGAAUAAUGCCAUACAACAGAAUAACAAACUUCGUCAGGAAUUGGAACUCUUAAAGCAUGAUGGCAGGAAAAAUGCCGGUGGCGUCUCGUUCCUGUUCGUCAUAUUAGUCGGAUUGAUCGGAAUCUUCUUUGGCUAUAUUAUUAAGAAGACUUGAGUAUCUCUUUGCAGCAAUCUGGAUUUAUAUCAUUAUAUUUUCUAUGAUGAAAGGAAAGGGAACUACUAAUGUUC